ensembl:lncRNA
CCCCCCCCACCCCCCCGGUGUCUUUAACUCUGUGCUGUGAAAUGCCGAGCGCAGUCAGAGGCACGAGGACGCCGCUUACAGCUUUGUCUGACUUUUAGCAGUGCGCUCAUGACCUGGACAUAACUGUGGUUGUAAACGAGCGUGCUUAAAAUUCAAAAUCACUAAGAAACUAUGUGGAAAAGUACUUCAAAAGUGAUCUAAUCUGUAUUUGUUGCCCUCUGCAUGGCUUUUCCAUACAUCCAUCCUUACCGCCCAGGUUUGUUAAAGGGCACAUGUUGAGUGCGCGAGCAUGUUUGUGAGUGAGUGUGUGUGCGUUGACUUUAUCUGUACGUACAACUGUUUUUAGAUAAAAAGGCUGCUGAUUGAUGAAGUGAAAUAGUUGAUUCUCCUAGUUGGAACACUGUUUCUACUACUUUUAUAAAAAAAAAUAAUGAUUAUAAUAAUGGAUUCCUUCCCAUAGCAAUACAAAACUGUUCUAUUCAGUGGGUUUUUUUUUUUUUUUGGUUUUUUUUUUUAAUAUUUUGGGCUGUUUACUGAAUCUUCCUUCUGUUGGCACUUAUCAGAAGUUAUGCCUGUGCUUUAUUCGUCCUAAAGAGAAACAAAAAACCUACAACUAAAACAUUAAAAAUCAACCAGUAUGAUAAGAAUCUGGUCUUUAUGUUUACAAUCACACAGUAUUCUCAUUAAAGAUGGAGAAGCAAUAUUACCCCUACCCCACCAACCCCCCCCCCCCCCUCGCUCCUUCCUGAACUGCUGUGUAUUUGAUGGCAAAAAUUUAAAACGAAGACAAAGAGGAUUUGGGUUUUUAAUGGAUGAUGGCUGUGUGUGCGUGCGUGUGUGAUUUAAGUAUUAAAUUUUGCACAUGGAAGAACAAAUGAGUUGUGUUUUUUCAGCGCUGGUAUUUUCUUAUUCAUGAGAAAGUUUUGACUCUCAAACAUAGUCUUUCCCUGUAAGAGAAAAAUGCUUUGGAACCUUUAAAAAAAGAGCAACAAAGUGAUUAAAGAAUUUGGUACUUCACAGUGAAGUUCCACUGACUCUACCUUAAAUGUGGAAGAUCGUCUGAAGCAACAGGGCAUCUUUCCCGUCCUGUGAUCCACUCACCAUUCCAGCUGUUUGUAGUGCUUUAGUGACGUGUUUCCUGUGUCUCCUCUUGUCGUUCAUCACUGCACAAGACAUGGUGAUAUUCUCUUGUACCAGCAAACAAAUAAAAACUCCAACCAUCAGCUAAUUUUGAUGUCUUAAAUCAAGCGUUCAUGCUGCUCGACCCCCAAGCAAACUUGUAGUCUGUUGUCUGUAUACUAGAGCUGUGUGUCUGUAGCGUGGUGGGACAAUAAUCAUGUUUUUCUGUGUGUGGUUUAACAGAAUGUGAACGGGUAAGCUGUUGUUGUACAUCAUACUGUUGUACUCAAGACCAGUUAUAUUGGCCUUUCUACGUCUGAAAAUAACUCACUGCUACAACUUCUGGGAAUAAAGUGUUUCUAUAUUUCAC